rnacentral:rRNA from 1 species
AACGAACGCUGGCGGCAGGCUUAACACAUGCAAGUCGAACGCCCCGCAAGGGGAGUGGCAGACGGGUGAGUAACGCGUGGGAACAUACCCUUUCCUGCGGAAUAGCUCUGGGAAACUGGAAUUAAUACCGCAUACGCCCUACAGGGGAAAGAUUUAUAGGGGAAGGAUUGGCCCGCGUUGGAUUAGCUAGUUGGUGGGGUAAAGGCCUACCAAGGCGACGAUCCAUAGCUGGUCUGAGAGGAUGAUCAGCCACAUUGGGACUGAGACACGGCCCAAACUCCUACGGGAGGCAGCAGUGGGGAAUAUUGGACAAUGGGCGCAAGCCUGAUCCAGCCAUGCCGCGUGAGGGAUGAAGGCCUUAGGGUUGUAAAGCUCUUUCACCGAUGAAGAUAAUGACGGUAGUCGGAGAAGAAGCCCCGGCUAACUUCGUGCCAGCCGCCGCCGUAAUAC